GACGUAGGGGGCCAGCGUUGCUCGGAAUUACUGGGCGUAAAGGGUCCGUAGGCGGGUGCGGUAAGUCGGGAGUGAAAUCUCUGGGCUUAACUCAGAGGCUGCUUCCGAAACUACCGUGCUAGAGUGCGAGAGAGGCAAGUUGGGAAUUGCGGGGUGUAGCGGUGAAAUGCGUAGAUAUCCGCAGGAACAUCCGAGGCGAAAGCGGCUUGCUGGAUCGCAACUGACGCUGAGGGACGAAAGCUAGGGGAGCAAACAGG
rnacentral:rRNA from 1 species